ACACAUGCAAGUCGAGGGGCAGCACAGGUAGCAAUACCGGGUGGCGACCGGCGCACGGGUGACUAACGCGUAUGCAACUUGCCUAUCAGAGGGGGAUAACCCGGCGAAAGUCGGACUAAUACCGCAUGAAGCAGGGAUCCCGCAUGGAAAUAUUUGCUAAAGAUUCAUCGCUGAUAGAUAGGCAUGCGUUCCAUUAGGCAGUUGGCGGGGUAACGGCCCACCAAACCGACGAUGGAUAGGGGUUCUGAGAGGAAGGCCCCCCACAUUGGUACUGAGACACGGACCAAACUCCUACGGGAGGCAGCAGUGAGGAAUAUUGGUCAAUGGCCGAGAGGCUGAACCAGCCAAGUCGCGUGAGGGAUGAAGGUUCUAUGGAUCGUAAACCUCUUUUAUAAGGGAAUAAAGUGCGGGACGUGUCCCGUUUUGUAUGUACCUUAUGAAUAAAGAUCGGCUAACUCCGCGCCAGCAGCCGCGGUAAUACGGAGGAUCCGAGCGUUAUCCGGAUUUAUUGGGUUUAAAGGGUGCGUAGGCGGCCUUUUAAUUCAGCGGUAAAAUUCUGUGGCCUCAACCAUAAAUUUGCCGUUGAAACGGGGGGGCUUGAGUAUGUUUGAGGCAAGCGGAAAUGCGUGGUGUAACGGUGAAAUUGCAUAAAAUAUCACCCAAAACCCCAAUUGCGAAGGCAGCCUGCCAAGCCAUUACUGACGCUGAUGCACGAAAGCGUGGGGAUCAAACAGGAUUAGAUACCCUGGUAGUCCACGCAGUAAACGAUGAUCACUAGCUGUUUGCGAUACACUGUAAGCGGCACAGCGAAAGCGUUAAGUGAUCCACCUGGGGAGUACGCCGGCAACGGUGAAACUCAAAGGAAUUGACUGGGGCCCGCACAAGCGGAGGAACAUGUGGUUUAAUUCGAUGAUACGCGAGGAACCUUACCCGGGUUUGAACGCAUUCGGACCGAGGUGGAAACACCUUUUCUAGCAAUAGCCGUUUGCGAGGUGCUGCAUGGUUGUCGUCAGCUCGUGCCGUGAGGUGUCGGCUUAAGUGCCAUAACGAGCGCAACCCUUGCCACUAGUUACUAACAGGUAAAGCUGAGGACUCUGGUGGGACUGCCAGCGUAAGCUGCGAGGAAGGCGGGGAUGACGUCAAAUCAGCACGGCCCUUACAUCCGGGGCGACACACGUGUUACAAUGGCGUGGACAAAGGGAGGCCACCUGGCGACAGGGAGCGAAUCCCCAAACCACGUCUCAGUUCGGAUCGGAGUCUGCAACCCGACUCCGUGAAGCUGGAUUCGCUAGUAAUCGCGCAUCAGCCAUGGCGCGGUGAAUACGUUCCCGGGCCUUGUACU
rnacentral:rRNA from 1 species